CCUUUAGACAGAGAAAGGCAGUGUUAGUCAAGGGAAGGGAAAGCGAAUCUCCAGCCCUCCUCUGCCCCAUACCUGCGCUCUGCACCCAAAACCACCAUGCGUAAAAGCAAGCGCUUCAUUGCUCGGUUAUCAGAACCUUCUUCUGACCAUAAAAAGUAUCAUCAUCUCAUCCUGUCACUAUGCCUCGGUCCUUCAAGGAAGGAUCACGUUGCAGUUAAGGUAUGUCAGCAGCAGAUCGAGGCUCAGUUCUGGGUUCGGAUCAUUUGUGUAACCUUGGCCAUGCCACCUUGUCUUUGAGACUAUGCAUUUUAAGCUGUUUGUUACACAGCCAGCUCCAUAUUCAGAGCGUGCCUCUAAUUCUCUGCACAGCUGUGUGCCUCCUGUGUGUCCCCAGGCAAAUCACAUCAGCUCAGAUGGACAAAAGUCCCUUUAAUCAUGGGAUGUGGACUCUGUGCCUCUCAGGAACAGGCGCUGUGGGGUAACACAGUGGGAAUGGAGGUGGUCAUGUGUUAGGAUGCCGACAGGCUCGUUAGGGUAAACAUGUGCAGCACUUCUUGCCAUUGCAAGCAAUAGGGCAGCCCUUCAGCUGUGGGUAACUGAGUGCGAGUUUCUUGCUGAGGUCCUAGAAUGGGACAUGCCCCUGAAGGACACAGUGAUGCUUUAUCCCACUCCUGUCACUUCUCUGAUGUGAGGCGCAGGAUGCACAGUUCUCAUAUUGGUGUCCCAGAAAACCCACCUCUAUCCUACCUACAAGGCAUUGCUGGUGCCAUGGUCAGAAAGAAGGCAGGUAGGAUGGGACAUGGUUGUGCUUGUAAAUUGGGUGAAAGCCAUUCUGGAGCUCUGGAAGGAUUUCAGUGCAUUAUGUUCAAUGGUCAACAUGCUGUGUUAAAGAAUAAACAAGCCCAGUUUGUGCUGGCUGCAUGUGGGGCCCAGUACUAAUAACACUGCUACCUCAAACCUGGGGGAGGGCUGCUGCCUCCAGUUCCAUUUAUUUAUCUCCACAGCAGAGAUCGGCGUAAAACAAAUUGUCUGAAAUCCUCAGAGCAAAUGGGAAAAGACGAGAAGUAGAUUCAUUUUAAGGCCCAGUAGCUUUGUGUCUUCCCCUUUCAAUAACACCGAUAACCUAGGUGUAAAACAUGUAAUGCCUUAAGCAAUCAAUAGCGCGGUUUAAAGCUUAUCACUUUAGAGAGAGAGGGAGCCAGCCGUUCCCAGCCAGAGGAAUGCCAGGGCUUAACAAUGGGGCUGGGAAGAGAGGUGUCAAGCCUUUGGCUCCAUUGUGUGCUUUAGAAAUGCGCAUGAUUGCCUGCAAAGAGUGAAAAUAAAUAAAUAACUAAAAAUGCUCCCACAAUGAUUUCAGCUUCCCCUGCCUCGGAAGCAAUAAUCACAUUUGCACACAUCAUGGCAUACAAGGCAAGCAGAGCUCCUCAUUCAUUUUGAAUGUAGGUUUAUUUGCUGAACCAGAACAGCUGAGACAGCUUAAAGUAAUAAAUAUCAGCUGACACCCUCUGCUAUUCAGCACAGUAAUCUCAGAAACAAUACAUCACUGCAAAACAACAAACACCCAUCCUAUCUUCUACCUAAUCUGACCACAACCUGAAUUCACAGUGAUUAAAACUCUGCCUGCUGCCAUUGGGGGAGCUCGGGAAGGGGAAAGACAGGCCGUUUUAGCACCAGCGUGGUGAGGGUCAUAAAGCAGAGUUUAUGAUGGGAUUUACCGUGGCUGGGAGCCUGGCUGCAUCAAGCAUAUAAUGAGGGCAAAAGAAUGACAUAGCAAAAUGCAAGAGGAAAGGUGAACUCCAAACAGGCUUGAAAUACGUAAGUAGGUCGCUGAACUUUUAAAGCAGGAAUUGAUUUUAAAACUCUCUUCUGGCAUAAGAUAAUUGACAGGAAAAAUCACAUUUAAUUGUGAAUAUCUCCCUGCCUGACAGUGAUAAAGAGAAAACGAAUGCGGCCAGCUCCACAUAAGAUCUAUCUUCCUCAUCUUCGGCCUCACUGCAGCUUCUGGUGCAACUUCAUAUUUUCUGCAGUGCCCUGAGAGCAGCAGCAAAUGCAACAGAAGGCAAAGGAAACAAAAAGCCUGCAGGUACAGCCAGGCCCUUCAGGACCCCGAUGUGAGCCUCGGAGCAAAGAGCCCUACUCCUAGUUGCACUGAUCCUCACUGUGGAAAUGAACUGAAGCUCCCAGCAAGUCAGUGAGUAUGUAUGUGUGUGUGAGACAGAAGGGAGGAAGGGCGUCUUUCAGAGAGAGCUUCCUGCUUUCCCAUGGGAGCCUGCAGACCUUGCUUAGAAUGGCUUUUUCUCUGCUCCCACUGGCAACAGUGCUUAGCAGGGGGGUGGGCAUGAAGCCCCCAGACUGUCUCCAUCCUGCCACGUGUGGCUGCAUGUUAGAGGUGCUCUUUGAAACUAGUCAGGAUAGCACUUAGAAGGUCCCAGGGUAACGUGCUCUGGCAUGGUCCCACAGUGUAAUUAUAAUGGUAGUCAACUGUAGCUAAUUGUAAGGUAACUGCAGCUAAGAUGUCAAAAACAUUAAAGGACAGUGUAAUGAUGAAAGGACCAAAGGAAAAGACAAGGGGUCUCUCUGUGUCCCUCAGCCAGAAGCCUUCUUGUCUGAUGCCAGACACAACGUUUAACUCUUCUGUGCCUCGGUUUCCCCAACUGU